AGCUGAGGAAAAGAAACCAACAGGGAUUGCCUCAGUAGCGGCGAGUGAAGCGGCAAAAGCUCAAAUUUGAAAUCUGGCGUCUUUGGCGUCCGAGUUGUAAUUUGAAGAAGGUAUCUUUGGGCCCGGCUCUUGUCUAUGUUCCUUGGAACAGGACGUCACAGAGGGUGAGAAUCCCGUGCGAUGAGAUGACCCGGGUCUGUGUAAAGUUCCUUCGACGAGUCGAGUUGUUUGGGAAUGCAGCUCUAAGUGGGUGGUAAAUUCCAUCUAAAGCUAAAUAUUGGCGAGAGACCGAUAGCGAACAAGUACAGUGAUGGAAAGAUGAAAAGAACUUUGAAAAGAGAGUGAAAAAGUACGUGAAAUUGUUGAAAGGGAAGGGCUUGAGAUCAGACUUGGUAUUUUGCAUGCUGCUCUCUCGGGGGCGGCCGCUGCGGUUUACCGGGCCAGCAUCGGUUUGGAGCGGCAGGAUAAUGGCGGAGGAAUGUGGCACGGCUUCUGCUGUGUGUUAUAG
rnacentral:rRNA from 1 species